rnacentral:rRNA from 1 species
UACGUAGGGUGCGAGCGUUGUCCGGAAUUAUUGGGCGUAAAGGGCUCGUAGGCGGUUUGUCGCGUCGGGAGUGAAAACCUCGGGCUUAACUCGGGGCUUGCUUUCGAUACGGGCAUCACUGGAGUUCGGCAGGGGGAGACUGGAAUUCCUGGUGUAGCGGUGAAAUGCGCAGAUAUCAGGAGGAACACCGGUGGCGAAGGCGGUGCUCUGGGCCAGUACUGACGCUGAGGAGCGAAAGCGUGGAGAGCAAACAGG